rnacentral:rRNA from 1 species
GGGGUGCACCAGGCGCGAAAACUUUACAAUGCUGGCAACAGCGAUAAGGGGACCUCGAGUGCCAGGAUACAAUCUUGGCUGUCGUGAUGCCUAAAAAGCAUUGCAUAGCAAGGGCCGGGCAAGACCGGUGCCAGCCGCCGCGGUAACACCGGCGGCUCGAGUGGUAACCGCUAUUAUUGGGUCUAAAGGGUCUGUAGCCGGCCGGAUAAGUCUCUUGGGAAAUCCGACAGCUCAACUGUCGGGCUUUCAGGGGAUACUGUUCGGCUCGAGGCCGGGAGAGGUGAGAGGUACUUCAGGGGUAGGGGUGAAAUCUUGUAAUCCUUGAAGGACCACCAGUGGCGAAGGCGUCUCACCAGAACGGUCCUGACGGCAAGGGACGAAAGCUAGGGGCACGAACCGGAUUAGAUACCCGGGUAGUCCUAGCCGUAAACGAUACUCGCUAGGUGUCGGCCACGGUGCGACCGUGGUCGGUGCCGUAGGGAAGCCGUGAAGCGAGCCACCUGGGAAGUACGGCCGCAAGGCUGAAACUUAAAGGAAUGGCGGGGGAGCACAAGGGCGAUUCGC